rnacentral:rRNA from 1 species
AGCGAACGCUGGCGGCAGGCUUAACACAUGCAAGUCGAACGGUCCUUCGGGAUAGUGGCGGACGGGUGAGUAACACGUGGGAACGUACCCUUAGGUUCGGAACAACACAGGGAAACUUGUGCUAAUACCGGAUAAGCCCUUCGGGGGAAAGAUUUAUCGCCUUUGGAGCGGCCCGCGUCUGAUUAGCUUGUUGGUGAGGUAAUGGCUCACCAAGGCUACGACCAGUAGCUGGUCUGAGAGGAUGGCCAGCCACACUGGGACUGAGACACGGCCCAGACUCCUACGGGAGGCAGCAGUGGGGAAUCUUGCGCAAUGGGCGAAAGCCUGACGCAGCCAUGCCGCGUGGAUGAUGGAGGUCUUAGGAUUGUAAAAUCCUUUCACCGGGGACGAUAAUGACGGUACCCGGAGAAGAAGCCCCGGCUAACUUCGUGCCAGCAGCCGCAGUAA